rnacentral:rRNA from 1 species
UACGUAGGGGGCAAGCGUUGUCCGGAAUCAUUGGGCGUAAAGCGCGUGUAGGCGGUUCAGUAAGUCUGCUGUGAAAGUCCAGGGCUCAACCCUGGGAUGCCGGUGGAUACUGCUGGGCUAGAGUACGGAAGAGGCGAGUGGAAUUCCCGGUGUAGCGGUGAAAUGCGCAGAUAUCGGGAGGAACACCGAUGGCGAAGGCAGGUCUCUGGGCAUUAACUGACGCUGAGGAGCGAAAGCAUGGGGAGCGAACAGG